GACAGUGUGCUAUUUAAAUUCCAGACUUUUCCGAGUUCCAGUUUGCCUUGUUUAUGCUUUCCUGCGUUGUUCCGUUAAUUCCUUGUUCUGGUGUCUUUUGCUCAUUUCAUUCCUUGCUUUGUGUUUUCUUUUCACUUAUUACUCAGUUAUUGUUAGAGGGGGGUACCUAGUUCAGUUCAGGAGACUUAAUUCGUUUACAAUUUUCUUUGUGACCCUUUUCUUUUCUUUUCCUUCUUGCAGUUUCGCUGCUACUUUCUGUUAUCUCACAGGGGGAGUGCUGAAGGGGGCUGUAAAUCCUGUUGGGUUAGUUGAGCUAACAGAUUUACGACACUCCCCGCCAUAUGUUCCCAUCCCAGCACUGUAAUGGGGUGCCCUGCUUAUAUAGUCACCUGCAGAGUUUGUGCUUGUUAACAUACAUUUCUGUUGCUUACUUCAUGGGGAGCAAAGCGCUUGGUGCCCAUCGUGUCAUCCCAUCCCCUUUCCAUCCUCCUUAGCCAGGUAGAGGGAACAAGGGACAGACUUGGAAUAGGGAAUGCCCCUUGAGAGGAUGACAAGCCUGCAGUGGGAUGUGGCGGCCUCCCUGUUGCCGGGCAACUCCAUAGCGGGAGAGGUGACAGGAGAGGUGGGGCUGUUUCUCUGAGAGUUGGCCAGCAAGAAGCGCUGCCAGCAUAGAGCAGCCAUGUCCCUGGGAGGAUCUGCACUGCCGCCUCUAUGGAUGCAGUUUGUAAAUUGGUGCCAAACCACGGAUAUGGUGGCGUCUGGAGUCCAAUGCAAUGCUCUGGCAGAGAAACUGGAGGUCUCAGCGAUGAACUUCUGUGAAAACUGAAGGUUCAACUUGGAAUUUGGUGAGGCAACCUGGAGGUCGCUUUUGCCACGAAACUGCAGUUUCACGUGUUCAGACAUACUGGAGUUCCAACCUCUGCCACUUUUAACUCCGGUUUGGCAUGACAUGUGAACUGGGCCAGUUGUAUCUCUCUUUUUCUUCAGAUGCAGGUGAGGAAGUGACUGUCCAGAAUCAGUGCCUGGCUGCAGUAAUGGACUGGAUGAGGGUGAGCAAGUUGAGACUCAAUCCAGACAAGUCAAAGUCCAGCAGAAAUGUGGAAAGACUGCAUCAUGCCACAUGGAAGAAAAUACUUCAAGGAGGAAACCUACACUUCCUAUAAAUAUGAGUGCAGCAUUAUGGAACUACCAAGCAGUAACCAAGCGAAAGGGACUCAAUGUAGAUUCAAUUUACUACCAUGUAAAACUGGGGACUAAACAAGAGGGAAGCAUGUAGACCAAACAAUGGUUUUGUAAUUGGAGAGCAUCAAAGAAUCCACGCUAUUUUAACAUGGCAAUAAAAUGGAAAUGUUGCUUUCGA